GUGCUCGCUUCGGCAGCACCUAUACAAAAAUUGGGACAAUACAGAGAAGGCCGGCAUGGCCACUGCCCAAGAAUGACACACAAAGGUGUGCAGCAUUCCAUAUUUUU
ensembl:snRNA U6 U6 spliceosomal RNA